GAUACAGCACCAAGUUAUUCUCUCCUUGGCAGGAGGACCUGGGGGCUCUGGAUGAUGGGUGAGGCGAGGAGGCCAGAUGACCAAAUACCUCUCCUCCAGAAGUGCCAAGGGCUUGAUCAAAACACACUGAAAGCAAUGGAAACAACGAGUGCAAGCAGAAUUACUGUUUGAAGAGCAGUCCUUCUUCUUCCAAAACUGGUACAGAAAGGAAUUUUUCCUGUCAGACAGCACCUGCCAUCUGAAUGAAAGCAGCAUCCUUGGAAACAGAUAUUUUAUCCAGGUCACCUGCAGACAGAGGUUCUGAGCCUUCUCUGCCUGCUCCCUGCUUUGGAACAUCACCAGCAGAUGUUUCCCCCCUCUUAGGGCUGCUGGCAGUGUGCAUCCCUCAGCCAGGAGGGUGAAAACGGGGGAAGAGAGCAGA